rnacentral:rRNA from 1 species
GGCUCAGAACGAACGCUGGCGGCGUGGAUAAGACAUGCAAGUCGAACGCUGAUUACAGGGUAGCAAUAUUCUGUAGUCGGAGUGGCGCAAGGGUGCGUAACACGUGGGCAAUCUGCCGUGAAGUUUGGAAUAACUUGCUGAAAGGCGAGCUAAUGCCGAAUGUGACAAUUGGGAGGCAUCUCCUGAUUUUCAAAGUUGGGGACCGCAAGGCCUGACGCUUCACGAUGAACCCGCGGCCUAUCAGCUAGUUGGUGAGGUAACGGCUCACCAAGGCUAAGACGGGUAGCUGGUCUGAGAGGACGACCAGCCACACUGGAACUGAGACACGGUCCAGACACCUACGGGUGGCAGCAGUCGAGAAUUUUUCACAAUGGGGGAAACCCUGAUGGAGCGACGCCGCGUGGGGGAUGAAUGGCUUCGGCCCGUAAACCCCUGUCAUUCGCGAACAAUGCCUGCGGUUUAACACAUCGCAGGUUGAUAGUAGCGGAAGAGGAAGGGACGGCUAACUCUGUGCCAGCAGCCGCGGUAAUACAGAGGUCCCAAGCGUUGUUCGGAUUCACUGGGCGUAAAGGGUGCGUAGGUGGUCGGGUAAGUCUGAUGUGAAAUCUCCGAGCUUAACUCGGAAAUGGCAUUGGAUACUAUUCGGCUAGAGAGUUGGAGGGGGGACUGGAAUACUUGGUGUAGCAGUGAAAUGCGUAGAUAUCAAGUGGAACACCAGUGGCGAAGGCGAGUCCCUGGACAACUUCUGACACUGAGGCACGAAAGCUAGGGGAGCAAACAGGAUUAGAUACCCUGGUAGUCCUAGCUGUAAACGGUGCAUAUUUGCUGUAAAAGGAAUCGACCCCUUUUGUGGCGUAGCAAACGCGUUAAAUAUGCCGCCUGGGAAGUACGGUCGCAA